GAAAGUGUUUUUGCUUAGUUAUUUGAUUAUAGAGUCUGGAAGACUCCAUGAAGACUUUGGUUUAGGGGUUAGUAACAUAUGUUAUAGUAUUGUUUGUAUUUGGGGUUUAAUUUUAGAAUCUUAACUUUUUUAAAAAAAAUGAUCUACAUGUGUUUAGUUUUGUGUAUAUUAAACGUUUUAUAAGUUGAUUUUAAGUUUAAUGAAUUGUUUUUUGCUAUCUAGUUAGUUAUUUUAUUAGGUUAUGGUUUGAAAAACUUCUAGAAGGAAGUCUUCUAAUAUAUUUCGCCUAAUUUUUAGUAGAAUUUAGGUUUCCCGCGUAAAGCGAAGUCUUUCAGAAAUCUUUCAGAAGUCUUCUCAUGUAUUUGAUUUUAGGGCCUAUAAGAUUUCACAAGAAGUCUUCUCUUAGAAGACUUCACAAGAAGUCUUAUGUAUCGAAAAUAUUUAACCUAACAUGAAUUUUUGUCUCCAUAUAUAAAUAAAAUUUACACAUUCUCUUUCUUCUUCUCAAAUGGCUGCAACAAAAUUAUAAUGUUUCUCACUCUAACUCUCCAACCUCUCUCUAAUCUCUUU
rnacentral:lncRNA from 1 species